rnacentral:lncRNA from 1 species
UGACCUUUAUGGGAAGUCUUUUGAAAGAGGAAAAAGAACAAGAUACAAUUAGAAAGUCCUACUAAACCAAACAUCUUAUUUCUAGUUACCUUUGGAAGAUACCAACAAGUUAAAGUAACUUUUCUAUAUUGUGAGAACCAAAUCAAAAACGGAAAUCACGAUUUCAAACAAAAUUCAAAGUUUACACUUUACUUGUACAAAUUACAAAAGGGCAAUAAUUGUCUUAUAUAUUACUGUCAAAUAAAUUUGUUUGAAUAAUAUGUUGGGUCCAUAUACAUGAAAUUCUGGUUUUCAAAAACUGAGUUUGUUUUUCUACAAGCAACCUCAAGAGCCAGUACCAAACCAAAGCUAAGUUGAAAGCUCUCAAAUUUUAUAUACCCAGUCCCCUCCCCGCCUUUUAUUUUCUCUACACACCUUCUCCCAUUUCUUUCGCAGAUCUCGUGAGCUUAAUAGGCAUUAUGAAGAACAACUCAAAUUUCCAAUGUUUUGCUUCAACUUUCACUAGGGACACCAGAAUUUAUAUUUGAGGCAUGACUCCCCACUUCAAACACAGCCUGACACCCAAAGUUUUCAGCCUCUACCCAUUUCCAAUGUUUCAGAAGGCCCCCCAUGUCAAUGAAUCUCAUUCACUCAGCUCGGUUGAAGACCG